rnacentral:rRNA from 1 species
AUUGAACGCUGGCGGCAUGCCUUACACAUGCAAGUCGAACGGCAGCGCGGGAGCAAUCCUGGUGGCGAGUGGCGAACGGGUGAGUAAUAUAUCGGAACGUGCCCAGUAGUGGGGGAUAACUGCUCGAAAGAGCAGCUAAUACCGCAUACGACCUGAGGGUGAAAGGGGGGGAUCGCAAGACCUCUCGCUAUUGGAGCGGCCGAUAUCAUAUUAGCUAGUUGGUGGGGUAAAGGCCUACCAAGGCAACGAUCUGUAGUUGGUCUGAGAGGACGACCAGCCACACUGGGACUGAGACACGGCCCAGACUCCUACGGGAGGCAGCAGUGGGGAAUUUUGGACAAUGGGCGCAAGCCUGAUCCAGCAAUGCCGCGUGCAGGAAGAAGGCCUUCGGGUUGUAAACUGCUUUUGUCAGGGAAGAAAUCCUCUGGGUUAAUACCCCGGGGGGAUGACGGUACCUGAAGAAUAAGCACCGGCUAACUACGUGCCAGCCGCCGCAGUAACAC